rnacentral:rRNA from 1 species
GGGGAAUUUUGGACAAUGGGCGAAAGCCUGAUCCAGCAAUGCCGCGUGCAGGAAGAAGGCCUUCGGGUUGUAAACUGCUUUUGUCAGGGAAGAAAUCUUCUGGGUUAAUACCUCGGGAGGAUGACGGUACCUGAAGAAUAAGCACCGGCUAACUACGUGCCAGCAGCCGCGGUAAUACGUAGGGUGCGAGCGUUAAUCGGAAUUACUGGGCGUAAAGCGUGCGCAGGCGGCUUUGCAAGACAGAGGUGAAAUCCCCGGGCUCAACCUGGGAACUGCCUUUGUGACUGCAAGGCUAGAGUACGGCAGAGGGGGAUGGAAUUCCGCGUGUAGCAGUGAAAUGCGUAGAUAUAGGAAGGAACACCAGUGGCGAAGGCGACCACCUGGGCUAAUACUGACACUGAGGUGCGAAAGCGUGGGGAGCAAACA